GCGCCCUUAGCUCAGCUGGAUAGAGCAACGGCCUUCUAAGCCGUAGGUCACAGGUUCGAGUCCUGUAGGGCGUGCCA
rnacentral:tRNA from 1 species